rnacentral:rRNA from 1 species
UACAGAGGUCUCAAGCGUUGUUCGGAUUCAUUGGGCGUAAAGGGUGCGUAGGCGGCGCGGUAAGUCGGGGUGUGAAAUCUUGGAGCUUAACUCCGAAACUGCAUUCGAUACUGCCGUGCUUGAGGACUGGAGAGGAGACUGGAAUUUACGGUGUAGCGGUGAAAAUGCGUAGAUAUCGUAAGGAAGACCAGUGGCGAAGGCGGGUCUCUGG